rnacentral:rRNA from 1 species
UACGUAGGAAGCAAGCGUUGUUCGGAGUUACUGGGCGUAAAGGGUGCGUAGGCGGCUUUUUAAGUUUGGUGUGAAAUCUCCCGGCUCAACUGGGAGGGUGCGCCGAAUACUGAGAGGCUAGAGUGUGGGAGAGGAAAGUGGAAUUCCUGGUGUAGCGGUGAAAUGCGUAGAUAUCAGGAGGAACACCGGUGGUGUAAACGGCUUUCUGGACCAUAACUGACGCUGAGGCACGAAAGCGUGGGUAGCAAACAGG